CCCGGUGGUGCCGCGGGCGGAGCCGGGGACGGGCCCCGGGGCGUCGUCGUCCGGCGUCGUCAGUUCGACGCCAGUCAUCAGACCC
rnacentral:tRNA from 1 species